UGCUAAAUCGGCCUACUUCAAUGACUAAAACAGUACAAUGUUAAUAUAUAGUAGAGAUAGUUUAUGAUGAAUGUAUUCUGUAUGUAGUCUCUGACAACUAAACUUCACCAUCAGUAUGGCGUUACAUUUGUGUCAUAUGUCGCGCGAGCGGAUAACACAUCUGCACCCGUGCAGAUCUCUCUCUCGCGUAAAUUAUUUUGUGUCACGCGUGCAGAUAUCAACUGCCACGCGGACUUGUUUGAUCUUCGCGCACAUAUUCAGCAACAGAGUGAAACAGAGGCAGGUGCGAGCGAGUAAAAAACAGCAGCGACACGCACAACAACACUGUGCAGCUGUUAUGCGUGCGCUGGCUCGCUCCUGCUCUCGCUCUCUCUCUCCCCUGUGCUCGCUCGCGGUGGAGCUCUGCUCGCUCGAAGCAAGGACUUUUGACACUUUGGGGGCAGACACCAAGGCUGACCCCGGCCAGACCCCGGCCCUCUUAUGAUUGGUCAUUUUCCAGCCCCCCACGUGGGUGCCUUUUCGGUUUUCUGCUGAUGACAGCUUCUGUCACAGACAGGAAGCACAGUGGUAGCGGUGGCAAAUUGGAGGAAGAAGAAGAAGAAGGAGAAGGAGGAGGAGGAAGGAAGAAGGAAGAAAGAGACGAUCGAUGAUUUGACAGUAAGUAUGCUGCUGUUUAUUUGGUUUCAUAUUUUAUAGCAAUAGCUAACGCUAGAUAGCUUUCAAGUGAUGAGUUAAGUUGAGUUAUCGAACUUUAGCUACCGAACUGGCUGAUUCACGGUUACUGUUUGCUAGGUCAGCUACCAUUUUCUACCGGAAAAAACUGGGUGCUAGUGCCAAUGCUUAACUGGUUCAACUCUCGUGCCCCCAAAGAACUAGUUUGAUUUCCACUUUUACUGAGUAUUCACAUAAUCUGCUUCCUGGAAUAUCCCUCUGGGGUAUAAGUUGUUUGCUUUAGCAGCUAAUCUUUAUGGGCACAUUAAUGUUCAUAUGUCAAUCACAGCAUAUUUUAGAGACAAGUCGUUAGACUAACUGUAUUCGCCAUCCUCCCACAGGUUACGUGGAGAAUAUAAUACAAUAGUUUAUUGCAUUCAUUAUGGAAGUUUUCCUGUCACUAUACACCCACCAACUAAUUUAGCUUUUUAUGUUGAAUGUAUUGUUUAUGAAGCUCAGGGACAGAGCAGGGGCAGCAGGCAGGCACCACCCCAAGAACCAGGGACCUCUGUCCAGUGAGACAUGGCCAGGUUUGGUUGCUGUUUCAAAGAUACAUUUGGAUGUGAACGUUUAGCCAGUCCUUUUAAAUCAUGUGUAAAAUUAUUUUACACAUGGUUUUUACUAAAAUCUCUCUGGAAUUGGCUUUUGAAUUUCUGUAAAAGUGAGGGGAAAAAAACACAGAUAUGUCAGGAAGAGCCCUCAUCAGUUGAGGUCUUGGAAUAAUUUGAAUUUCUGCACCCUUUCUUUUAGGUGUUUCCCUGGACUAUUCAAAGAUAGGAGAUAUGCUAGGCCUGGAUCACAACUGUACAAAAAAAGACCAGGCACAAAGAUAACCCCAGUCCAGUUUUUCCUCAUGCAAAGCCCCUCAGACAAAACUCAUAAACUGUCUCUCACUUUUACAGGCUGGGCUGGGAAGGACAACAGUAAAUAUUCCAGAGGAUGCCAACCACAAAGAGAUUACAAACAUUCUUUGUGAAACUUAUCCAAAGAUAAGUGAUCUGGAGGGGGCCUGGAUGCUUCACAAAGCCAUAGGAGGUUCAGGGCAAUGAAGACUUAACCUUGUGUCACCUGAAGAAGCAGGAUACACCGGGGCCAGUCUCGUGAAGACCUGGGGAGGCAUGGGCUGUCUUUACAUAAUGCCCAUCCAGCUCACACUGGACAUUACUCCCUUGCCCUUUACAGCUCCAGAGUUCCAGGCUAGGCCAAAAGCCCGGUGUGUGUCAUGCCAGGAGUAUGUGCCCCUGCGGCUCCUAAGCCUCCACGUUAAAACAUGUGCCCAGACUAAAGGCAGUGAUGAGAACAAAUCUGAUGAUGACAUCAUCGACUUGGAUCAUAUGGUCUUCGAUGCUGAGAAUGUGGU